GUGAGGAAUAUUGGACAAUGGGCGCAAGCCUGAUCCAGCCAUGCCGCGUGCAGGAAGACGCAUCUAUGGUGUGUAAACUGCUUUUGUACGGGAAGAAACACUCCCCGUGAGGGAGAUUGACGGUACCGUAAGAAUAAGGAUCGGCUAACUCCGUGCCAGCAGCCGCGGUAAUACGGAGGAUCCAAGCGUUAUCCGGAAUCAUUGGGUUUAAAGGGUCCGUAGGCGGUUUAAUAAGUCAGUGGUGAAAGCCCAUCGCGCAACGAUGGAACGGCCAUUGAUACUGUUAGACUUGAAUUACAAGGAAGUAACUAGAAUAUGUAGUGUAGCGGUGAAAUGCUUAGAUAUUACAUGGAAUACCAAUUGCGAAGGCAGGUUACUACUUGUGGAUUGACGCUGAUGGACGAAAGCGUGGGGAGCGAACAGGAUUAGAUACCCUAGUAGUCC
rnacentral:rRNA from 1 species